rnacentral:misc_RNA from 1 species
GAUGAAGAACGUAGCGAAAUGCGAUAAGUAGUGUGAAUUGCAGAAUUCAGUGAAUCAUCGAAUCUUUGAACGCACAUUGCGCCCUUUGGUAUUCCAAAGGGCAUGCCUGUUCGAGCGUCAUUUGUACCCUCAAGCUUUGCUUGGUGUUGGGCGUCUUGUCUCUAGCUUUGCUGGAGACUCGCCUUAAGGUAAUUGGCAGCCGGCCUACUGGUUUCGGAGCGCAGCACAAGUCGCACUCUCUAUCAGCAAAGGUCUAGCAUCCAUUAAGCCUUUUUUUCAACUUUUGACCUCGGAUCAGGUAGGGAUACCCGCUGAACUUAAGCAUAUCAAUAAGCGGAGGA